AUACGGAGGGAGCAAGCGUUAUUCGGAAUCACUGGGCGUAAAGGACGCGUAGGCGGGUUUGUAAGUCAGGUGUGAAAUCCUACAGCUCAACUGUAGAACUGCACUUGAAACUACAGACCUAGAGUAUGGAAGUGGCAGAUGGAAUUAGUGGUGUAGGGGUAAAAUCCGUAGAUAUCACUAGGAAUACCGAAAGCGAAGGCGAUCUGCUGGGACAUUACUGACGCUGAGGCGUGAAAGCGUGGGGAGCAAACAGGAUUAGAUACCCCAGUAGUCC
rnacentral:rRNA from 1 species